rnacentral:rRNA from 1 species
AUUGAACGCUGGCGGCAGGCCUAACACAUGCAAGUCGAGCGGUAGCACAGGAGAGCUUGCUCUCCGGGUGACGAGCGGCGGACGGGUGAGUAAUGUCUGGGAAACUGCCUGAUGGAGGGGGAUAACUACUGGAAACGGUAGCUAAUACCGCAUAACGUCGCAAGACCAAAGAGGGGGACCUUCGGGCCUCUUGCCAUCAGAUGUGCCCAGAUGGGAUUAGCUAGUAGGUGGGGUAACGGCUCACCUAGGCGACGAUCCCUAGCUGGUCUGAGAGGAUGACCAGCCACACUGGAACUGAGACACGGUCCAGACUCCUACGGGAGGCAGCAGUGGGGAAUAUUGCACAAUGGGCGCAAGCCUGAUGCAGCCAUGCCGCGUGUAUGAAGAAGGCCUUCGGGUUGUAAAGUACUUUCAGCGGGGAGGAAGGUGUUGUGGUUAAUAACCACAGCAAUUGACGUUACCCGCAGAAGAAGCACCGGCUAACUCCGUGCCAGCCGCCGCCGUAAAAC